rnacentral:rRNA from 1 species
GACGUAGGGCGCGAGCGUUGUCCGGAUUUAUUGGGCGUAAAGAGCUCGUAGGCGGCUUGUCGCGUCGACUGUGAAAACCCGCGGCUCAACUGCGGGCUUGCAGCCGAUACGGGCAGGCUAGAGUUCGGUAGGGGAGACUGGAAUUCCUGGUGUAGCGGUGAAAUGCGCAGAUAUCAGGAGGAACACCGGUGGCGAAGGCGGUCUCUGGG